AUGACAGAUAAUGACAUUCAACGGAGUAGAGACCGAUUGGAGUUAGGUUUUCUUAAUACCAAAAAGAUCAAUGGAAUUUCAAACUUUGAUCUGCCUAUGAUUCUAGCGAUCACCAUCGCUGAUCAAAAUUUGAUAGAAUUCCUCGUGGAUGAUAGAAGCUCUUGUAAGGUCGUCUACGCUGACACGUUAGAACAACUAGGCAUUCAACAGAUAGAUCUGGAUUCAUAUCACUGA